UUUUGGGAAAAUCAAAGAAGGAAUGCAAAUAAAAGAUUGAUGCGCGCGCAAUAAAUCCCAUGCAGAUGCGACGCUCAUUAGGAUCAGGUUGUGCACUAUAAUGAUGCGACUGUCUGGACCAGCAUCUGACACUGGGAACUCUCUCUUCUAUGAAACCCAACAGCUCGAGAAAAACCCCGUCGAACCAGUAAACAUCUCUAGCCAUCAUUAACAGGAGCUUCUGCACCGUCAUCAGGUCCUCGGUCUUCACCGCUUGAAGUAAUUCCUGAUCUUUCCCCAUCCUUAUUUAUUUUACAUCCAAAGCAUCCUCUGAAUGUGUGUGUAGUGUUGCCCAGUGAGCUCCUUUGCGGAUCCUCCCUCUUGCGAUGGAGCUGCAGGGCGCGAGGAUGAUGAUGAUGAUAACGCACACUUGGCGGAAGGAUGCUCGGAUACUAUAGAGCUGCUGCAGCUGGAGCCUAUGAAUCACAGAUGUUUUUAUUCCGAUUUCGUGAAGCCGUCAAAUGCUGUUAUUCGCUUCACAGCCGAGAUCGAACUUGCAAUCGCACGUACAUUAGGGUUGAAUCGCGUUUUCAGUCCGACAUCUGCGUGAUCAAACUGUGAUCGGUCCCUUCUGGAAAAUCAUCAGUUGGAUCAGUCCCAAUCACGUUUUGUUGGCGUGAACGAGAAGCGUUAGAUAAAAAAUAAAUACAAAUUCAGUGAUGCUUCAAAUUCUUCUGGGAUCCGAAGAGACGUCAGUCGGUGAUGCCAUAGCUCCGCGCGCGUAGUACUCGCGCUGUUUUUUUUUGUCCUGUGAUGGAUUUACACAAGCAGAGUGCAGUGUGCAUUACCCCAGCCAUGGAUUGGUCUGACAACAUUGCUGUGGUAAAUGGCUCCGCUUCAUCCAGAGGGCGGUCCCUGAGAGUAGGAACACCCCCCCAUUCCAGUGCUGACAGCCACAUGCUGCUAUACUACAAUUCAGCACUGCUGAAUCAUAAGGCAAGAUGUUUAAACAGCCCUGCUCUGUAGUUAGCACUAGCAAGGGCAUUCGUUAUGUUUUUCCACCUAACAAUGAUGGACUGCAGCAUAAUUAAGAAAUCUCACGUGUGCACUAUAGACGCAGCAAGGGCCCUGGAUCUCAUUCCAAGAGCAAGACUGAGAACUGCUGGUCCUGCCAGCACUUUUGCCCUUUCAUAACAAACUAAUUAAAGGCUUAAACAUGAUACUUAACACUUGUGGU